CCUGGUUGGAUUUCACAGUCAUGGAAGUUCUGCUUUAAAAUCCGUUUCUGAAGAAGUGUUAAUGGCAGCAGUGAGCCCCCAUGCCUCUGAUUGUCAUCUUUGGGGGCCAGAGAAGUGAGCAGCUGUCCUUCCCAGUCCCUGGUCCCUCCAAGCAGUGACAACAAAGAAUGGACCAGAUCUUGACACUGCAUACCAGGGACAAAAUGUCCCAUUGAGAGUCACGCUCUGGAGUGGGAUGGGCAGUGAGAGACCCGAGACCGCAGGAUGGGGAAGAAAUAGCCCAGCUCAGGCUACUGGGUUGAAGAACUGCCAGAGAGUGAUCGCCGACGUGCAGAUUUCUGAUCUACGUUUAAUGUAGAAGCUGACUGUUCUGUAUCUGACGUUUUAUUUAGAGUCUAUGAAGUAGCUUAGGCCAAUUACUCAUAGCCGCCUGCCCCUCCUCAGUUACCUGGACAUAUGUCUUGUGUUCUGGAAUCAAAGCUAAUUCUGAAUGCGUAUCCUGAAAACAUGGGACACUUACUCAGAUUUCACUCUUGGGUGUCAUUGGCCUUUUAAUUAUUUUCUAUCAAUAGACCGACCUUAGAUUUACUUGUCAAAAAAGGUAAGGUCAUUUUAUGAGCACUUUCAUUCCAAUUUCCCAGAUGUCUUUUCUGAUUAGAAAAACCUAUAAACUAUGUAGCUUUGAAUUUAUAGAAUCAUUAUUCCUGAAGGUUUUGCUGUCCUUCGCGCUCAGAGAUGGUCCUACUGACCCAGGAUGGCAGAGCCUGUGAUCGCAGCUCCAGGGGCACUCAAUUCAUUUGUUUCCCUGUGUCUCCAUCUCCUCAUGUUAUCCUGUCACCCCACAAAGCACCUGCGUGCAACCCGGUCAACAGAGUCCAUCCAUAGAGUCCCACUGGUUCAGCUGGUUGUUUCCAGCUUUUUGACCGUGACCCACCGUGGGAAGCUCAUCUUAAGUAGCAAUGCAAAUGACACACUUACACACGUGCACACACACAGAGCACUUCAAAAAGCAACACUUUAUUAACUAUGCUACUUCUAUCGCAUUUUAAUCCCAGCUCUUUUUAACUUUUGCAGAAAGUGUUUAUAAGCAUUCAGUUGAUUACUACCCACAGUUAGAAAAAAAUAUAUUGGUCACGUGCAUGGUAAUAAAACUGCAGAGUGUACUGAGC